ACUCCUACGGGAGGCAGCAGUGGGGAAUAUUGCACAAUGGGCGCAAGCCUGAUGCAGCCAUGCCGCGUGUGUGAAGAAGGCCUUGGGUUGUAAAGCACUUUCAGUCGUGAGGAAGGUAGUGUAGUUAAUAGCUGCAUUAUUUGACGUUAGCGACAGAAGAAGCACCGGCUAACUCCGUGCCAGCAGCCGCGGUAAUACGGAGGGUGCGAGCGUUAAUCGGAAUUACUGGGCGUAAAGCGCAUGCAGGUGGUUGUUAAGUCAGAUGUGAAAGCCCGGGGCUCAACCUCGGAAUAGCAUUUGAAACUGGCAGACUAGAGUACUGUAGAGGGGGUAGGAAUUUCAGGUGUAGCGGUGAAAUGCGUAGAGAUCUGAAGGAAUACCGGUGGCGAAGGCGGCCCCUGGACAGAUACUGACACUCAGAUGCGAAAGCGUGGGAGCAAACAGGAUUAGAUA
rnacentral:rRNA from 1 species